rnacentral:rRNA from 1 species
AUUUUGGACAAUGGGCGCAAGCCUGAUCCAGCCAUGCCGCGUGAGUGAAGAAGGCCUUCGGGUUGUAAAGCUCUUUCGGCCGGAACGAAAUCGACCAGGCCAAUACCCUGGUUGGAUGACGGUACCGGAAGAAGAAGCACCGGCUAACUACGUGCCAGCAGCCGCGGUAAUACGUAGGGUGCAGGCGUUAAUCGGAAUUACUGGGCGUAAAGCGUGCGCAGGCGGCCUCUUAAGUCAGAUGUGAAAUCCCCGGGCUUAACCUGGGAACUGCGUUUGAAACUGGGAGGCUAGAGUGCGGCAGAGGGAGGUGGAAUUCCACGUGUAGCAGUGAAAUGCGUAGAUAUGUGGAGGAACACCGAUGGCGAAGGCAGCCUCCUGGGCCAGCACUGACGCUCAUGCACGAAAGCGUGGGGAGCAA